rnacentral:rRNA from 2 species
UUGGGGGAAUGUAUAGUAUAGUUAUGUUUUGAAAGGUAAAGGGGAACAUAAGACCAACUACGUUGGAUAAAAUUCUAGAUAGAAUACUGAUUAUGACUAUUUUCUAUCUAAAUGUCUUGGCCAAAUUACGUGCCAGCAGUCGCGGUAAUACGUAGAAGACUAGUGUUAUUCAUCUCUAAUAGGUUUAAAGGGUACCUAGACGGUAUUAUUAACCCCAAAACAAAACUGGGGUUUUUUUUACUAGAGUUUAAUGUAAGAAGGGAGAAUUUAGGGCGUAGAGUUAAAAUUCGUUGAUAUUCUAAGGACUGAUAAUGGCGAAAGCACCCUUCUAUGUAAUAACUGACGUUAGGGGACGAAGGCUUGGGUAGCGAAUAGGAUUAGAUACCCUAGUAGUCCAUGCAGUAAAUGAUGAAUGUCAUAGACUAGAUAUAAUUUAGUUUAUAAAUGAAAGUGUAAGCAUUCCACCUCAAGAGUACUGUGGCAACGCUGGAACUGAAAUCAUUAGACCACUUCUGAGAACAGUAGUGAAGUAUGUUAUAUAAUUCGAUAACUCUCGUAAAACCUUACCACAACUUGAAUAGUGUCCGAAAUUAAUUAAUUAAAUAUUAAAAGCUGCACUUGCACCACCUGGUGCUCCUCUGCAAGAUAUUAAAUUAACAGGAUGUUACAAGUGUUGCACGGUUGUCUUCAGCUAAUGUCGUGAGACUAUGGUUAGCUCCAUAAAAUUAGCGAAAACCCCGGCUUUAUUUUUUAAUUAUUAUGAUAAAGCAGUCCGUCAGUAUAAAGACAUAUGAUAA